rnacentral:lncRNA from 1 species
UCCAAAGCAUCCUUGUUCUUCUCCAGUUCCUCGGGAUGCUGCUCUACCCAUGCCAUUAUGUCCGUGAUGUAGUCGGGGGGUAGAGCAGGAAACACGGAAGGACCAAAGAAGAUGAGCUCUUGAAGCUGAUCGGAUUGGUAUCGCACGUCCAAUUCCAAACCUGCAGCUUUCCCGGAGAGUGCAGAGUUGUCUUUCUUGAGAGCCAAAGUCUCCUCUUCUGCACUUGCUAGCUCACCCUUCAGCCCAGUUGUUUCUCCUUGAUAUCGGGCAACUUGUUUCUUCGGAUCUGCUAUAGUAGCCUCAAGUGAGACUACGUGCCCCGUCUCGCAAGAUAGCUGACUUUUCAAAUCUUCAACCUCUUUGGUACAGUCAGCAAUGGUGGUUUUCAGCUCCUUGCGAAGUUCCAAUAUCUUCGCGACAUAUUCGUCUAUCUCUUUCUGCUUGGACUCGAUCGUCUUGUCCUUCUUGGGCAGAAUAUUGUCG